AACGAACGCUGGCGGCAUGCCUAACACAUGCAAGUCGAACGAGACCUUCGGGUCUAGUGGCGCACGGGUGCGUAACGCGUGGGAAUCUGCCCUUCGGUUGGGAAUAACUGAGAGAAAUUUCAGCUAAUACCUUAUAAUGUCUUCGGACCAAAGAUUUAUCGCCGAGGGAUGAGCCCGCGUAGGAUUAGGUAGUUGGUGGGGUAAUGGCCUACCAAGCCGACGAUCCUUAGCUGGUCUGAGAGGAUGAUCAGCCACACUGGGACUGAGACACGGCCCAGAAUCCUACGGGAGGCAGCAGUGGGGAAUAUUGGACAAUGGGCGAAAGCCUGAUCCAGCAAUGCCGCGUGAGUGAUGAAGGCCUUAGGGUUGUAAAGCUCUUUUACCCGGGAUGAUAAUGACAGUACCGGGAGAAUAAGCUCCGGCUAACUCCGUG
rnacentral:rRNA from 1 species